GCAGGUGUCCCCUUCUUCCCUCACUGCUCCGUGUGCAUCCCCCCUGAUGCUGCUGGCUCAGUUCUCUAGUUGCACAGAGAGAUCUUCCCGAAAUAGAGGACUGAUCUUCAGUCAAGGGUAUACCAGAAGCUGCGCUCCCCUGCUGGAACCUCCAAACAAUCUCUCAGUGAAUAUUUUUUAAAAGGGAUGGCAUAGCAGAGAUUCUUCUGGUCCAGUGAGUCUCCAGCUACUUUCU
rfam:Mesocricetus auratus contig089879, whole genome shotgun sequence.